AACGAACGCUGGCGGCAGGCUUAACACAUGCAAGUCGAGCGCCCCGCAAGGGGAGCGGCAGACGGGUGAGUAACGCGUGGAAACGUACCCUUUGCUACGGAAUAGCUCCGGGAAACUGGAAUUAAUACCGUAUGUGCCCUACGGGGGAAAGAUUUAUCGGCAAAGGAUCGGCCCGCGUUGGAUUAGCUAGUUGGUGGGGUAAUGGCCUACCAAGGCGACGAUCCAUAGCUGGUCUGAGAGGAUGAUCAGCCACAUUGGGACUGAGACACGACCCAAACUCCUACGGGAGGCAGCAGUGGGGAAUAUUGGACAAUGGGGGCAAGCCUGAUUCAGCCAUGCCGCGUGAGUGAUGAAGGCCUUAGGGUUGUAAAGCUCUUUCACCGGAGAAGAUAAUGACGGUAUCCGGAGAAGAAGCCCCGGCUAACUUCGUGCCAGCAGCCGCGGUAAAAC
rnacentral:rRNA from 1 species